ensembl:lncRNA
CGGAAGAAGAGGCAGUGUGACUAGAGUACAGACUGCCAGGGAACCAACAGAAACUUUGUUUCCAAGAAUUUAGGAACUGGGGAUUUAGCACAGUGGUUCCACCGCCUGCCUCGCAAGCGCAAGGACUUGAGUUCGAUCCCUGGUAGCAAAAAAAAAAAGAAAAACUUGGGAACCCAACGUGGUAGAAUGGAUCCCUAGGCAGUUACUACUGCAAAUUUCCAUAGACUCAGUCAUGCUCUCUGAAUACUUCCGUCCUCGUCCUGAAAAGAUGAAUUUAGAAUCCCUGUCAUCAAGAUAAUCAAGUAAGGGGCUGGGGAUUUAGUUCAGUGGUUCCACUGCCUGCCUCACAGGCACAAGGUCCGGAGUUCGAUCCCUGGUACCAAAAAAUCAUCAUCAUCAUCAUCAUCAUCAAACUCAAUGUUCCUCCUAUGAUCUGGAUUUUCCAUAGAAGAAGUGUUAUAGGAGUCCUCCAGGAUACAACUAGGCUUCAAUCAAAACAGAGAAAUAAAUAAAACACAUGGUAAAGAACUGCAAAAGCUGAGCCUAAAAUUAACAUGGUACCUUGAAUAGCCCAAACAGUCUACCUCCUCCAAGAAUCUUUUCAUGAUCACUCUUCCACUGGUACUGUUAUUAGUUUUUAUUCUUCUUUCUCAUUAACUAGUCUUAGUCCAUUGACAGCAGAGACUGUCCUUUCAUAUCUGGAUUCCUAGCACCUAACAUGGUUCCUUAUUACAUGUAGUGCUUAUAAAUGCUAAAGAGGGGG